rnacentral:lncRNA from 10 species
CACAGAGCUAUUUUCAGUUCUCUUGCAGGAUCUCCUUCCCAGCCUUCAGAAAUUGCCGGUCUGGGAGUUGGGGGCAAGGAGAAGAUCCUGAAUUAGACCUUUACGAGAAGCACAGUUUUGUCUUCAGUUUCCUCUCCCCCCACCCGGAAUGGCCUGAGCCGAAGCCAGCUCCCUCCGAGAAGUCAUUACCGCCUGACUUGCGUUUGAUAUUUAGACACCUUGGUCACAACAUCUUGCAUUCUCUCGGGAUGCUGAUUUCUAACUGCUCUUUGGCCUUUCCUGCAUUGGUCCUCCUCAGGCAGGGGAUCCCUGCUCUUCUAUAUUAAUGCUGGCUCCCCGUCCCCUGUCCACCAUGAGUCAAAGCAAUGUGAGUCCCUCACCAGAUGCAACUGCCCAGUCUUGGACUUUCCAGUGACCAGAAUCAUG